rnacentral:rRNA from 1 species
UGGGGAAUAUUGCACAAUGGGCGCAAGCCUGAUGCAGCCAUGCCGCGUGUAUGAAGAAGGCCUUCGGGUUGUAAAGUACUUUCAGCGGGGAGGAAGGCGAUAAGGUUAAUAACCUUGUCGAUUGACGUUACCCGCAGAAGAAGCACCGGCUAACUCCGUGCCAGCAGCCGCGGUAAUACGGAGGGGGCAAGCGUUAAUCGGAAUUACUGGGCGUAAAGCGCACGCAGGCGGUCGGGCAAGUCGGAUGUGAAAUACCCGGGCUCAACCUGGGAACUGCAUUCGAAGCUGGCAGGCUAGAGUCUUGGAGAGGGGGGUAGAAUUCCAGGUGUAGCGGUGAAAUGCGUAGAGAUCUGGAGGAAUACCGGUGGCGAAGGCGGCCCCCUGGACAAAGACUGACGCUCAGGUGCGAAAGCGUGGGGAGCAAACA